GACGAACGCUGGCGGCGUGCCUAAUACAUGCAAGUCGAGCGCAGGAAACUGACGGAACUCUUCGGAGGGAAGGCAGUGGAAUGAGCGGCGGACGGGUGAGUAACACGUAAGGAACCUGCCUCAAGGAUUGGGAUAACUCCGAGAAAUCGGAGCUAAUACCGGAUAGUUCAUCGGACCGCAUGGUCCGUUGAUGAAAGGCGCUCCGGCGUCACCUUGAGAUGGCCUUGCGGUGCAUUAGCUAGUUGGUGGGGUAACGGCCCACCAAGGCGACGAUGCAUAGCCGACCUGAGAGGGUGCUCGGCCACACUGGGCCUGAGACACGGCCCAGACUCCUACGGGAGGCAGCAGUAGGGAAUCUUCCACAAGGGACGAAAGUCUGAGGGAGCAACGCCGCGUGAGUGAUGAAGGUUUUCGGAUCGUAAAACUCUGUUGUAAGGGAAGAACACGUACGAGAGGGAAUGCUCGUACCUUGACGGUACCUUACGAGAAAGCCACGGCUAACUACGUGCCAGCAGCCGCCGUAA
rnacentral:rRNA from 1 species